UUUAUAGAGGCAGUGCUUCAGAUUUCCUAUCUGAUAAUAUUUAUUUCCUGUAAUGAUGCAAAGAAUAUUUUUCCUUCAGUUUUUCAGCUUUGAUGAUUACUGCCUCCUGGGUGUGGGGGUUGUGAAGACCAUUUUUUAUGACCUUUGUGGGAGUCUAGUUCUUCAAGUUUUGCAGCAUUGUAUGGGGAAUGGUCAAAUUGGGUAGAAAUUUUCUUCCUAGAUCGCUGCAAGUUAGAUUCUUUGUUGCCUGCAUUGAUUGCAUUGUUUACUAAUGACCUGAGCAGCAUCGAUCUUUAUGAACAAUUUUGCAA
rnacentral:misc_RNA from 1 species